GACGAACGCUGGCGGCGUGCUUAACACAUGCAAGUCGAACGAAGUGGCGAACGGGUGAGUAACGCGUAAACAACCUGCCCUUCAGCGGGGGACAACAGUUGGAAACGACUGCUAAUACCGCAUACUGAAGGAGGGGAAGGCGUCUGAUUUGCUAGUUGGGGGGGUAACGGCCCACAAAGGGGAUGAUCAGAAGCCGGUCUUGGGGGGUGAACGGGCAAAAUGGGACUGGGACACGGGCCAAACCUCUACCGGAGGCAGCAGGUGGGAAUCUUCCGACAUGGACGAAAGGCUGACGGAGCAACGCCGGGUGAGUUAUGACGGCCUUCGGGUUGUAAAGCUCUGUUAAUCGGGACGCGGUACCGGAAUAGAAAGCCACGGCUAACUACGUGCCAGCAGCCGCGGUAAUAC
rnacentral:rRNA from 1 species